rnacentral:rRNA from 1 species
GAUUAAGUUAUUAAGGGCGCACGGUGGAUGCCUUGGCACUAGAAGCCGAUGAAGGACGUUACUAACGACGAUAUGCUUUGGGGAGCUGUAAGUAAGCUUUGAUCCAGAGAUUUCCGAAUGGGGAAACCCAGCAUGAGUUAUGUCAUGUUAUCGAUAUGUGAAUACAUAGCAUAUCAGAAGGCACACCCGGAGAACUGAAACAUCUUAGUACCCGGAGGAAGAGAAAGAAAAUUCGAUUCCCUUAGUAGCGGCGAGCGAAACGGGAAGAGCCCAAACCAACAAGCUUGCUUGUUGGGGUUGUAGGACACUCUAUACGGAGUUACAAAGGACGACAUUAGACGAAUCAUCUGGAAAGAUGAAUCAAAGAAGGUAAUAAUCCUGUAGUCGAAAAUGUUGUCUCUCUUGAGUGGAUCCUGAGUACGACGGA